rnacentral:rRNA from 1 species
GACGGAGGAUGCAAGUGUUAUCCGGAAUCACUGGGCGUAAAGCGUCUGUAGGUGGUCAAAUAAGUCAACUGUUAAAUCUUGAGGCUCAACCUCAAAAUCGCAGUCGAAACUAUUCGACUAGAGUAUAGUAGGGGUAAAGGGAAUUUCCAGUGGAGCGGUGAAAUGCGUAGAGAUUGGAAAGAACACCGAUGGCGAAGGCACUUUACUGGGCUAUUACUAACACUGAGAGACGAAAGCUAGGGUAGCAAAUAGGG